UACGAAGGGGGCUAGCGUUGUUCGGAAUUACUGGGCGUAAAGCGCACGUAGGCGGAUCGUUAAGUCAGGGGUGAAAUCCUGGAGCUCAACUCCAGAACUGCCUUUGAUACUGAAGAUCUUGAGUUCGGGAGAGGUGAGUGGAACUGCGAGUGUAGAGGUGAAAUUCGUAGAUAUUCGCAAGAACACCAGUGGCGAAGGCGGCUCACUGGCCCGAUACUGACGCUGAUGCACGAAAGCGUGGGGAGCAAACAGG
rnacentral:rRNA from 1 species